GUCAGCAGCCAUAUCACCCUGUAGACUGGUUGCCCACUGAAGCUAAGCAGGGUUGAGCCUGGCCAGUACCUGGAUGGGAGACCUCCUGGGAAAGUCUAGGUUGCUGUUGGAA
rnacentral:rRNA from 1 species